AUACGUAGGGGGCUAGCGUUAUCCGGAAUUACUGGGCGUAAAGGGUGCGUAGGUGGUUUCUUAAGUCAGAAGUGAAAGGCUACGGCUCAACCGUAGUAAGCUUUUGAAACUAAGAGACUUGAGUGCAGGAGAGGAGAGUAGAAUUCCUAGUGUAGCGGUGAAAUGCGUAGAUAUUAGGAGGAAUACCAGUUGCGAAGGCGGCUCUCUGGACUGUAACUGACACUGAGGCACGAAAGCGUGGGGAGCAAACAGGAUUAGAUACCCUGGUAGUCCACGCCGUAAACGAUGAGUACUAGCUGUCGGGGGUUACCCCCCUCGGUGGCGCAGCUAACGCAAUAAGUACUCCGCCUGGGAAGUACGCUCGCAAGAGUGAAACUCAAAUGAAUUGACGGGG
rnacentral:rRNA from 1 species